AAGAGACAGCAGCAGCCGCGGGAAAACGGAGGGUGCAAGCGUUAUCCGGAUUUAUUGGGUUUAAAGGGUCCGUAGGCGGAUCUGUAAGUCAGUGGUGAAAUCUCACAGCUUAACUGUGAAACUGCCAUUGAUACUGCAGGUCUUGAGUAAAUUUGAAGUGGCUGGAAUAAGUAGUGUAGCGGUGAAAUGCAUAGAUAUUACUUAGAACACCAAUUGCGAAGGCAGGUCACUAAGAUUUAACUGACGCUGAUGGACGAAAGCGUGGGGAGCGAACAGGAUUAGAUACCCGAGUAGUCCCUGUCUCUUAUAC
rnacentral:rRNA from 1 species